CCAAGCCCUAGAGCCCCUUUCCUUUCCCCUUUGGCCGCCGCACCACCCAUCUCCACCGUCACUGCUGCCGCCCGCCGCCGCAGUGGUGGCUCCAAAUCACCUCAAAAUUACAUAUCUUCUUCCCCUCACUUCCCCCUUUUCAUAUGCAGACCCCAAAUACUCAAACUCCCUAUCAAAAUCCAUAAAUCUCACAAAAACCGAAACCCUAGCCUUCCAUCUUUCCUCAAGUUCGUGAGGAUUGAGUCAUCCCCUUCGCCCAACACAUACAUAGACGUAAAGAGCUAGACAAGGGCUAUCAUUUGGCAUUGGUCUUAACCCGAAACUCCGGUAACCCCCACUGCCCGCCGCUGCUGCUUCUCCAUCUUUCUUAUUUCUUUUUCGACCAAAGGCACUUGUUUCCUUUUGGCAAGAUGCCGGAAUCUAUUAGUUUAUCGUCUGCCAAAAAGAAACAUGCGCCUCGGGGUCGGACAGCCACCACUUGGCAUCCAGGGCAUCGUCUCAUUGCUCGAUUCGUCGAAUGUCCCGGAGUUUGGAAAGAGCAAUAAAAAGAGGAAGAAGUCACUUCUUUUAGUUUGAAGCAUUAGUUUCUGGGAUUUUGUUUUGCUGUUUUCUACUGGGAUUCCUUGGUUUCGAGUUACCGGGGCUACUGAUUUACUGUUGUGACUGCUGGUUUGGAGCUAUCUGAAGCUUUUAGUUUGUUGUUUGUUUCAUUGCAUUAGUGAAAAAAAAAAGGGAGUUUAUGCUCUAAAGGUUAGUUUGUAUUCUCAUUCUCUAACUCUCUAUAUUCUUAUUAAAAAUUAACGUUUUAUGAAAGAACUUGUCUUAGUAGAUGCAUUAAGUUUCUAUGUUUUCUGUUUUAUUGUUAUAAAUUCUACUGUUGAAUGUUAAGGUAUUUUCAUGAUAAAACAACAUGUUGACUUACUUUUCUUCCUUUGGUAUUAAGCAAGGACUAAGUAUUUUAGGUGCCGAUUAGUUUUUCUUUGUGGUUACAUGACAAAUGACAUCUAUGGUGUAGUUGUUAGAAUGUAUUUAUUUUAAUCUCAACAUGUUGUUGAGCUAAA